UACAGAGGUCCCAAGCGUUGUUCGGAUUCAUUGGGCGUAAAGGGUGCGUAGGCGGCGCGGUAAGUCGGGUGUGAAAUCUCGGAGCUUAACUCCGAAACUGCAUUCGAUACUGCCGUGCUGGAGGACUGGAGAGGAGACUGGAAUUUACGGUGUAGCGGUGAAAUGCGUAGAUAUCGUAAGGAAGACCGAGUGGCGAAGGCGGUUCGUCUGGGACGGUACUGACGCUGAGACGCGAAAGCGUGGGGAGCGAACAGG
rnacentral:rRNA from 1 species